rnacentral:misc_RNA from 1 species
UAGAUUUUUCUACUAAAUUCUAAUUAUGAACGCGCAAUAACAAAUGUCAAACAAAUUCCAAGCGGCUCAUGAUAACAUGGGAAAAAAGCGUUUUAUUUAAUGGAAUAUAACAAUAAUAACGUUGAAUUUAUGUUACACGGCUUCCUGUAAAUCUAUUCAAGAUGCCGAAAGAACAAUAUCGCGAAACUUAUGUCGGGAGAAAAAUCUCCCACGUAACAUUUAACGUGGAUAGCGCGUCUGCCAUCCAGCAGGCAGCUCACAUCCAGGUCAUCACCAAGAACCUGUACGCUCAGGAUGGACAGCGAGUGCCGGCGACGUAUGGAGUCCUUGAUAGGCGGAUGGGUACAAAUCAGAAAGAUGCCAACUGUGAGACCUGUGGGCUGGGGCUGGCGGAGUGUGUGGGCCACUAUGGGUACAUAGAGCUGGCCCUCCCUGUCUUCCAUGUUGGCUACUUCAGGUCUAUCAUCACUAUACUGCAGACUAUUUGUAAGGAAUGCGCAAAAGUGAUGUUAGCGGAACCGCUCAAAAAGUCAUUCAGGCGAAAAUUCAUGAACCCCGAGCUUUCCUACCUUCACAAGAAGAACCUCCGUGCUGCUGUCCUCAAAAAGGCUAAGACUUGCACCAAGUGUCCUUACUGUGAAGCUUUGAACGGUAUGGUGAAGAAGAGUCCUGCUGGUAUUCUGAAGAUUAUACAUGACAAGUACAGGACUAAGAAGCCGACGGAUCCGCUUGUGAAAAGGGUGCUGAGGGAUUUUAAUGAAGCUAAGGAGUCUAAUAAGGAGUUGGCCACUAUGAUUAACAGUGGACUUAUUAUCGAAAUGAGUCCUGUAGAGGUGCUGAACCUAUUCCGUCGCAUCCCCGACGAGGACAUCCCGCUACUAGGCAUGAACGCGAAGCUGACGCGGCCUGAACACCUCAUCCUCACGCGGCUGCCGGUGCCACCGCUCUGCAUCCGGCCCAGUGUGGUCUCCGAGAUCAAGGCUGGCACUAACGAGGACGACUUGACAAUGAAGCAAUCAGAGAUACUCCUCAUUAACGACGUGAUCGCUCGCCACAUCGCCAGCGGCGGCAAGAGCGAGCUGGUGCAGGAGGACUGGGACUACCUGCAGCUGCAUGCUGCGCUGUACAUCAACAGCGAGAUGUCUGGCAUACCGCUGUCUAUGCAGCCCAAGAAACCAGGCAGAGGUCUGGUACAGCGGCUGAAGGGCAAGCAGGGUCGCUUCCGAGGCAACCUGUCGGGGAAACGAGUGGACUUCUCCAGCAGGACUGUCAUCUCACCAGACCCUAACCUGCAGAUUCAGGAGGUGGGAGUACCAGUCCACGUAGCCAAGAUCCUGACAUACCCCGAACGGGUAUUCCCGGCAAACCUGCAGUGGCUACGUCAGCUGGUCUGCAACGGACCUGACGUGCAUCCGGGGGCUAACUACGUGCAGCAACGGGGGCUCAAGCAUAAGAAGUACCUCAAAUAUGGUAAUAGGGAGAAGAUUGCUCAGGAGUUGAAGUGUGGUGACAUAGUGGAACGCCACCUGGUGGACGGCGACGUGGUGCUGUUCAACCGACAGCCCUCGCUGCACAAGCUGUCCAUCAUGUGCCACCGCGCCAAGGUGCAGCCGCAGAGGACCUUCAGGUUCAACGAGUGUGUAUGUACUCCGUACAACGCUGACUUCGACGGUGACGAGAUGAACAUGCAUCUGCCGCAGACAGAGGAAGCCAGAGCUGAGGCACUCAUUCUUAUGGGGAACAAAUCCAACCUCGUUACCCCCCGCAACGGGGAACUCCUCAUAGCAGCGACCCAGGACUUCAUCACCGGCGGGUACCUGAUCACCCAGAGAGACUCCUUCUUCACCCGCGACGAGGCUCACCAGCUCGCCACGUGUCUGCUGUCGGGACCUGACACGAAUAUGAGGAUCGAUAUGCCGACGCCGGCUAUAUUGAAGCCCAGGAUGCUUUGGACUGGGAAGCAAAUUUUUAGUUUAAUAAUGAAACCUAACAAAAAGUGCGAAGUGAAGGCCAACUUAGAAACUAAAGGCAAGAACUACACUGGUAACGAGGACAUGUGUGUGCAGGACUCAUACGUAAUAAUAAGGAACUCGGAGCUCCUGUGCGGGUCCAUGGACAAGAGUACCCUGGGCUCCGGCACCAAGAAGAGCAUCUUCUACAUCCUGCUGCGCGACUGGGGCGAGGAGUAUGCCGUCAGAGGCAUGUGGAGGUUAGCGCGCAUGGCGUCGUACUACAUGAUGAACCGCGGCUUCAGCUUCGGCAUCAUCGACGUCACGCCCGGCAAGAAGCUCAUCGACGCCAAGAACAAACUGCUCGAGUCAGGGUACUCCAAAUGCGACGGCUAUAUUCUAGAGAUGGAGAAGGGCACCCUGCAGUGCCAGCCUGGUUGCACCAUGGAGGAAACCCUGGAAGCUGUGAUGCUCAGUGAACUGAGUAGUAUCAGAGAGUUGGCGGCUAAAGCAUGUUUCCGCGAGCUGCACCCUACCAAUGCGCCACUUAUAAUGGCACAGAGCGGCUCUAAAGGUUCGAACAUCAACAUAUCUCAGAUGAUAGCGUGCGUGGGGCAGCAGGCGCUCAACGGUAAGCGCGUGCCCAACGGCUUCGAAGACCGAUCCCUGCCGCACUUUGAGAGACAUUCCAAGAUACCAGCGGCGCGUGGUUUCGUAGAGAACAGCUUCUACUCAGGUCUGACGCCCACCGAGUUCUUCUUCCACACCAUGGGAGGACGUGAGGGUCUGGUCGACACGGCUGUAAAGACUGCUGAGACGGGGUACCUGCAGAGGAGAUUGGUUAAGUCUCUAGAAGACCUGGUGCUGCACUACGACAUGACAGUCCGCAACGCCAUGGGCGAGGUGGUGGAGUUCCGCUACGGCAGCGACGGCCUGGACCCCUCCUACAUGGAGGGCAAGGACCGCCCCGUCGACCUCGCCAGGGUCCUCGCUGAUGUUCGCGCCAAGUAUCUGUCCAGGGAUGAAGACCCGCUGGACGGCGAUGGCAUAGUAUUAGCGGCUGAAGAAACUCUCGCUUUAGACGACUUCAAGACUUGCACACAGGAGUUCAAAAACGAAUUACUAACGUUCCUCAAGUCCAUAGCCACGAAGGUCCGCAACCUGCGCACCCGGUACAGCCACUGCGGGCCCAUAGUGAAGCAGCUGCAGCGGCUGACCCUGACACAGUUGGUGCAGUUCCUCCGAGUGUGUCAUCAUAAGUACCAGAGGAGUGUCAUCGAGCCUGGGACUGCGGUUGGUGCGUUAGCUGCUCAGAGUAUAGGAGAACCCGGUACCCAAAUGACCCUAAAAACCUUCCACUUCGCCGGCGUGGCCUCCAUGAACAUCACGCAGGGAGUUCCUCGCGUCAAGGAGAUCAUCAAUGCUUCACGGAACAUCUCCACUCCCAUCAUCACGGCUGAGCUGAUGCAGCCACUCGAUCAGGAGUUUGCCAGAAGAGUGAAGGGGCGAGUUGAGAAGACUACGCUUGGAGAGAUCACAACCUACAUAGACGAGGUGUACCUACCGAAUGAAUGCUUCCUGUUGAUCCGCCUCGACGCCGAGAGGAUACGGCUGCUGUGUCUAGAAGUUAACGUCGAAUCUAUCGUGUACUCGAUAUGCACAUCAAAACUGAAAAUCAAGCCGGCAAACAUCCACAUAGUAUCAGACUGGGCUAUCAAAGUAUCAGCCGAGCCGAGCAAGCACGGCGGCUGGCUGAACAUGUCGCUGCAGCAGCUCGCGAGGCAGCUGCCCCCUGUCGUCGUCAAGGGGCUGCCGCAGGUGUCCCGGGCUGUUAUCGCUUGUGAUGACACUGACAGCACUGUCAGAUACAAGUUGUGCGUGGAAGGCGAUGGCUUGCGUGACGUCAUCGCUACAUACGGAGUCGACGGCAGGAAGACCACCUCCAACAAUAUAUUAGAGGUGUACCACACUUUAGGCAUCGAGGCAGCCAAAUCCACCAUCAUCACAGAGAUCCAGGCGGUGAUGGAAGGUCACGGCAUGAGCGUGGACCGGCGCCACGUGGAGCUGCUGGCGGGACAGAUGACGGCGCGGGGCGAGGUGCUGGGCAUCACGCGCUACGGCCUCGCCAGGAUGAAGGAGUCCGUGCUCAACCUGGCCAGUGUGAGUGUGCUGUAGCUUCCUCACCAGCACCAUGGAGACAGACAGGUGGAGCUGCUGCAGGGACAGAUGACGGCGCGGGGCGAGGUGCUGGGCAUCACGCGCUACGGCCUCGCCAGGAUGAAGGAGUCCGUGCUCAACCUGGCCAGUGUGAGUGUGCUGUAGCUUCCUCACCAGCACCAUGGAGACAGACAGGUGGAGCUGCUGCAGGGACAGAUGACGGCGCGGGGCGAGGUGCUGGGCAUCACGCGCUACGGCCUCGCCAGGAUGAAGGAGUCCGUGCUCAACCUGGCCAGUUUCGAGAAAACCGCCGACCAUCUUUUCGACGCCGCCUACUACGGCCAAACGGACUGCAUCGAGGGCGUCUCCGAGUCCAUCAUCCU